rnacentral:rRNA from 1 species
CCUACGGGAGGCUGCAGUGGGGAAUAUUGCACAAUGGGGUUAACCCUGAUGCAGCGACGCCGCGUGAGUGCAGACUUAUCUCUGUAUUUUAAGCUCUUUCAGCCGGGAAGAAAAUGACGCUACCUGUCGCAGUAGCCCCGGUUAACUACGUGCCAGCAGCCGCGGGAAUCGGGAGGGGGCAAGCGUUAUUCGGAUUUAUUGGGGGUAAAGGCGGCUCAAUCGGGUGUGCAAGGUUGGAGGGAAAGGUGGGGGCCCAACCCGCGGACUGCUCUGGAAACUGUAAAGCUUGAGUGCAGGAGAGGUAAGCGGAAUGCCUAGUGUAGCGGUGAAAUGCGGAGAUAUUAGGAGGAACACCAGUGGCGAAGGCGGCUUACUGGACUGCAACUGACGUUGAGGCUCGAAAGCGUGGGGAGCAAACAGGAUUAGAUACCCCAGUAGUC